rnacentral:tRNA from 1 species
GGGGACAUAGCUCAGUCAGUAAAGUACUUGCCUUGAGAGCAUGAGGACCUGAGUUUGAGACCCAGAGUCUACA